rnacentral:rRNA from 1 species
GGGUUGUGAGGUUAAGCGACUAAGCGUACACGGUGGAUGCCCUUUCAGUCAUAGGCGAUGAAGGGCGUGCUAAUCUGCGAUAAGCGCCGGUAAGGUGAUAUGAACCGUUAUAACCGGCGAUACCCGAAUGGGGAAACCCAGUGUGAUUCGUCACACUAUCAUUAACUGAAUCCAUAGGUUAAUGAGGCGAACCGGGGGAACUGAAACAUCUAAGUACCCCGAGGAAAAGAAAUCAACCGAGAUUCCCCCAGUAGCGGCGAGCGAACGGGGAGGAGCCCAGAGCCUGAAUCAGCAUGUGUGUUAGUGGAAGCGUCUGGAAAGGCGCGCGAUACAGGGUGACAGCCCCGUACACAAAAGCGCAUGUGCUGUGAGCUCGAUGAGUAGGGCGGGACACGUGGUAUCCUGUCUGAAUAUGGGGGGACCAUCCUCCAAGGCUAAAUACUCCUGACUGACCGAUAGUGAACCAGUACCGUGAGGGAAAGGCGAAAAGAACCCCGGCGAGGGGAGUGAAAAAGAACCUGAAACCGUGUACGUACAAGCAGUGGGAGCCCCACCACUAAGCCAGUGGUGAACUCCACAUCCGCAUCCUUUGCUGAGGAUACGGUUAACGGAGCGAAAGCGACGUUCAACCGCAAAACAAGCAGAGGGGGCUUAGUGGUGGGGUGACUGCGUACCUUUUGUAUAAUGGGUCAGCGACUUAUAUUCUGUAGCAAGGUUAACCGAAUAGGGGAGCCGGAGGGAAACCGAGUCUUAAUUGGGCGUUAAGUUGCAGGGUAUAGACCCGAAACCCGGUGAUUCAGCCAUGGGCAGGUUGAAGGUUGGGUAACACUAACUGGAGGACCGAACCGACUAAUGUUGAAAAAUUAGCGGAUGACCUGUGGCUGGGGUGAAAGGCCAAUCAAACCGGGAGAUAGCUGGUUCUCCCCGAAAGCUAUUUAGGUAGCGCCUCGUGAAUUCAUCUCCGGGGUAGAGCACUGUUUCGGCUAGGGGCCAUCCCGGCUUACCAACCCGAUGCAAACUGCGAAUACCGGAGAAUGUUAUCACGGGAGACACACGGCGGGUGCUAACGUCCGUCGUGAAGAGGGAAACAACCCAGACCGCCAGCUAAGGUCCCAAAGUCAUGGUUAAGUGGGAAACGAUGUGGGAAGGCCCAGACAGCCAGGAUGUUGGCUUAGAAGCAGCCAUCAUUUAAAGAAAGCGUAAUAGCUCACUGGUCGAGUCGGCCUGCGCGGAAGAUGUAACGGGGCUAAACCAUGCACCGAAGCUGCGGCAGCGAACGUAUCACUUAAAGCGAUUCAGCGGGUUACGAUUGACGGAGCGAAGCGACGUCAAAGCGUACGGAAGACCAAGGGUUCCUGUCCAACGUUAAUCGGGGCAGGGUGAGUCGACCCCUAAGGCGAGGCCGAAAGGCGUAGUCGAUGGGAAACGGGUUAAUAUUCCCGUACUUGGUGUUACUGCGAAGGGGGACGGAGAAGGCUAUGUUGGCCGGGCGACGGUUGUCACGGUUUAAGCGUGUAGGUGUGUGUUCCAUGUAAAUCCGGUUCACUUUAACACUGAGGCGUGAUGACGAGGCACUACGGUGCUGAAGCAACAAAUGCCCUGCUUCCAGGAAAAGCCUCUAAGCAUCAGGUAACAUCAAAUCGUACCCCAAACCGACACAGGUGGUCAGGUAGAGAAUACCAAGGCGCUUGAGAGAACUCGGGUGAAGGAACUAGGCAAAAUGGUGCCGUAACUUCGGGAGAAGGCACGCUGACACGUAGGUGAAGUGAUUUACUCACGGAGCUGAAGUCAGUCGAAGAUACCAGCUGGCUGCAACUGUUUAUUAAAAACACAGCACUGUGCAAACACGAAAGUGGACGUAUACGGUGUGACGCCUGCCCGGUGCCGGAAGGUUAAUUGAUGGGGUCAGCGCAAGCGAAGCUCCUGAUCGAAGCCCCGGUAAACGGCGGCCGUAACUAUAACGGUCCUAAGGUAGCGAAAUUCCUUGUCGGGUAAGUUCCGACCUGCACGAAUGGCGUAAUGAUGGCCAGGCUGUCUCCACCCGAGACUCAGUGAAAUUGAACUCGCUGUGAAGAUGCAGUGUACCCGCGGCAAGACGGAAAGACCCCGUGAACCUUUACUAUAGCUUGACACUGAACAUUGAGCCUUGAUGUGUAGGAUAGGUGGGAGGCUUUGAAGUGUGGACGCCAGUCUGCAUGGAGCCGACCUUGAAAUACCACCCUUUAAUGUUUGAUGUUCUAACGUGGACCCGUAAUCCGGGUUGCGGACAGUGUCUGGUGGGUAGUUUGACUGGGGCGGUCUCCUCCUAAAGAGUAACGGAGGAGCACGAAGGUUGGCUAAUCCUGGUCGGACAUCAGGAGGUUAGUGCAAUGGCAUAAGCCAGCUUGACUGCGAGCGUGACGGCGCGAGCAGGUGCGAAAGCAGGUCAUAGUGAUCCGGUGGUUCUGAAUGGAAGGGCCAUCGCUCAACGGAUAAAAGGUACUCCGGGGAUAACAGGCUGAUACCGCCCAAGAGUUCAUAUCGACGGCGGUGUUUGGCACCUCGAUGUCGGCUCAUCACAUCCUGGGGCUGAAGUAGGUCCCAAGGGUAUGGCUGUUCGCCAUUUAAAGUGGUACGCGAGCUGGGUUUAGAACGUCGUGAGACAGUUCGGUCCCUAUCUGCCGUGGGCGCUGGAGAACUGAGGGGGGCUGCUCCUAGUACGAGAGGACCGGAGUGGACGCAUCACUGGUGUUCGGGUUGUCAUGCCAAUGGCACUGCCCGGUAGCUAAAUGCGGAAGAGAUAAGUGCUGAAAGCAUCUAAGCACGAAACUUGCCCCGAGAUGAGUUCUCCCUGAGACUUAGAGUCUCCUGAAGGAACGUUGAAGACGACGACGUUGAUAGGCCGGGUGUGUAAGCGCAGCGAUGCGUUGAGCUAACCGGUACUAAUGAACCGUGAGGCUUAACCUUACAACGCCGAAG